UACGGGGGGGGGCAAGCGUUGUUCGGAAUUACUGGGCGUAAAGGGCUCGUAGGCGGCCAACUAAGUCCGACGUGAAAUCCCUCAGCUUAACUGGGGAACUGCGUCUGAUACUGGAUGGCUUGGAUUCGGGAGAGGAAUGCGGAAUUCCAGGUGUAGCGGUGAAAUGCGUGGAUAUCUGGAGGAACACCGGUGGCGAAGGCGGCAUUCUGGACCGGCAUUGACGCUGAUGUGCGAAAGCGUGGGGAGCAAACAGG
rnacentral:rRNA from 1 species